rnacentral:misc_RNA from 1 species
UUAAGUUCAGCGGGUAGUCCUACCCGAUUUGAGGUCAGAUGGUCAAGUCGUUGUCCUCGCGGACGGUUGGAAGCCAGUCCCAGGAUGAGGCAGAGGGGGUCCCCCGACGGGUGAUCUUAUCACGCCGAGCGAGAACACCCCGGAGCCAAGGGACAGGAGGCUAAUGCGUUUCGGAUGAGCCGACCGUCUCCGGCCGGCAG